AUGGAAGAUUUGUUUAUCCUUUCAGCUACUCAAAAAAGUGAAGAUAGUAUUUACUCUGAAGUGUCAAGUGAAAGUGAAAGUGUGAAAGUGAAAGUCACUCACUUGUGUCCAACUGAGUUGUGUCCAUGGAACACUCUAGGCCAGAAUACUGGAGUAGGUUGCCGUUGCCUUCUCCAGGGGAUUUUCCCAACCCAGGGACUGAACCCAGGUCUCCUACAUUGCAGGCGGAAUCUUUACCAGCUGAGCCAUAAGGGAAGCCCAAAAUAUCAAGGUGAAGUUAAAUUAAACAAGGCAGGCUGAGGACAGAUCCAACCAGUCCAUUCUGAAGGAGAUCAGCCCUGGGAUUUCUUUGGAAGGAAUGAUGCUAAAGCUGAAACUCCAGUACUUUGGCCACCUCAUGCGAAGAGUUGACUCAUUGGAAAGGACUCUGAUGCUGGGAGGGAUUGGGGGCAGGACGAAAAGGGGACGACAGAGGAUGAGAUGGCUGGAUGGCAUCACUGACUCGAUGGACCUGAGUCUGGGUCAACUCCGGGACUUGGUGAUGGACAGGGCGGCCUGGCAUGCUGCGAUUCAUGGGGUUGCAAAGAGUCGGACACGACUGAGCGACUGAACUGAACUGAACUGAGGACAGACAAAUUGGGCUGUGCAUUUCAAGGACGUGACAAAGGUCGCUUGCUGUGCUGAGUCACUUCAGUCAUCUCCAAGUCUUUGCAACCUUAUGAAAUGCAGCCCACCAGGCUCCUCUGUCCAUGGGAUUCUCCAGGCAAGAAUACUGGAGUGGGCCGCCAUGCUCUCCUCCAGGGGAUCUUCCUGACCCAGGGAUUGAACAUGGGUUCAAUGCAUUUCCUGCAUUGGCAGUCAGUUUAUCUACCACUAGCACCAUCUGGACAGCCCAGGCAAAGGUAACUGGAAGCUUUUUUCUAGGUAGGCUUUUUAACAAGCUCAGAUCAGAUCAGAUCAGCUAGCUGUCUUUCAUUGCAUAUGCAAAAAGCACUGGUUUUGCAGUUUCAAAGGAAAAACAAUUUCAUUUCAAUCAGUUUGCUCCAGAAUCUAAAGAAUAUCAUGGCCAUCCUGUGUCCAAAAGUGUCAUCUUUUAUAGCCAAAAUAUAGAUCAAAUGGUGUUCACAUUGUCUCUGACAACAGGGGCAGAAAAGAAACUUGCUAGAGUGGGGGAAGGAGUUGGGGAAGCUAGGUUCCCCCUCUCCUCUGAGAAAUAGAGGAAGCUAGAAAGCAAUUAGCUGAUACAGAAGGAAACAGAGGAAGAAGGGGGGCAGAUAAGGCAGCAGCAAGAUAGCAAGUGGACAAAGAAAGGAGAGAGAAAGGAGAGUUAGGGCUGUGGACUGGCUCAAGGGAGAGCUGAUCUAAAGGAAAAUGAAGAUUGAUCAGUUAAAUAUAAUUUUGGCAUGGUAACAUGGACAACCAUCCUCACAGAUCACAUAAUUCAUUUUCCAAUUGUAACUUCUCUCUAGACAAUUUUAAGUUAGCUUCACGUACCUUACAGGAGGCAGAAAGGAGGAUCAAGCCUCUUAUCCAGCACGGCACAUUCUUAUCCUUUCUCAGUCAGUGUGACCCACAAACAUUCAAUAACUUUUAAAGGUUUGGCCCACUUUAAUGUAAAGUUCCAAUUCUCACACAAUCCAGUGAAUCUGUCCCAUGUGUUAGCUAAUGAGCAAUAAGGUGAAUCUUCCCAUCUGGGAAUAAAAAAAACUUCAUCAAUCUUAAUCUCUAUCUUAUUAUUAUUAGAGUGGCAUUUUGUUUCACAAGUCCUGCUCACAGCACCAAUUAAUGUUUUGCCGGAAAGUUCUCCUUUUUGUCUCAGGUUCAAACACUUUGUUAACAAGAUAAGCCACACAUUUUAUGCAAAUAAAUAAUACAAAUAAUUAUUAGAGAAUUAUAGAGCUUAAUUUCAAUAUACUAACAUUAAAAGAAGGCAGAAAUAGAAACAGCAGAGGAUACAUCACCAAAUUGGGUUCAACAUUCAGACUUAAACAGAGCUGGGAAGUCCCGUGUCACAGCGUAUUUGGAGUACCAAUUGGGAAAAGGUCCCAGGCAGCGAGUCUCCUCAGUGCGUGAGACUUCCAAAACUGUAGUUCAGGGGUUCCUGCUUAUAAUCCCAGGACCCAAACUGAUAUCAUCAAUCUGUGAGCAAAUUGCAAGCCUGGGUUCAUGUUAAUGCUCUUUGUCUUGUACAACUUGGAAUGUUGUCAAGCCUGGGGCUUGGUUGGCCAGCCCGCUCCAGGGGCUCAACAAUCUCAAGAUUCAUCUCCCAUCUUAUCUGUGGUGCUGCAAGUCUUGCACUCACAGCAGGCAGUCACUCCCGGUCACUCACAGUCAGGGCAGUGUCCAAGGCAGGUUAGAAGCAAGGUCAGAGGCCUGUUUUGCUUUGUCUCUGAAGCCUAAACAAGACUAUCUAUUUUACUUCCCUAACAUGGGGGUAGCAAUAAGUGCUUUAAAAAGCUAUGCAGGAGAUUCUGAUGUAGCCAGUGUCUGACAGCCACUACCUUAGAAUACUUAUCUGCCAGUUUCUUGUGGCUUCUUUUCUUCCAGGCAGUGUUAGGUAGAGCCCAGGGUUUGGAAUCGGAGUCCUUGGUGCCAUAUUGUGACCUCAGCAUAUCAUCUGUGACAUCUUGGGCCAAUUGACCAACCUCUAACUCUGGGGUCUUAAUUUCUGCACAGGUAAAAUGGGAUAUUCCUUGACAUGAUUGUUGAAAGGUUAAGUGAGAUGAGACCAGCCAAAUGACAACUCAUCUGUCCCACUGCAUGCAAGUACUGAACAAAGUCAGCGAGUCCUCUUAAAGUCUGCAUCUCAGUUAUGUGGCCAUGGGUCAGUCUGGUGUGUACAGUCAUCUUAUCUUCAAAAAAAAAAAAAUUCUCUAAAUUCAGUUCAAAUCUCCUAAUACCCCUAGAUACUCCCACUCCAAUCAGGUGUCAAGAUGAAGAGUCCAGUUUAUUUCUUAACUGAUUUACUACAAUUACUGACACAUCACUCCCAGGCCUUUCCUGACUGAGGAUGGAGGAAUUUUCCUCUGGAGCAUUUCCAUCCUCCCCAACUUCAACGGGCUUCCAUCAAUCUGCUUCUCUCCACUAAAUCAUAAACAGCCUCCAACCGUAUCAUAAAUGCUCUCAGAGAAAAUCACAUUCAGAAUCAACCAUUCACUCACGGGAACCAAUAUAGAAACAUCAGAAGGUAAGAUGGACACAGGAACACAGUCCAUUUUUAUGUUUGUUUGUUUGUAUGUUUAAUAGUUUAUUGUUUUGAAUAAGGAAUCCAUACUGUGAUUAAAAGGUUUAAAUAUGAUAAAAGAGAAUGUAAUGCAUAGUUAUUCUCUUUCCCACCUUUGGCACUUACGUUCCAACUCAAGGCAACCAUGUUUAUGAAUUUUUAAGUAAACUUACAGAAAGUCUGUAUGUGCAAAAAUCACGGGGGAAAACUCAUUACAUGUGUGUGUGUGUGUCUGUGUAUCUCAUCCUUUGUUUUCCACAAAAUGUAGAACAUUAUACACAGUUUGUACCAGGAACAUGGAAAGCAUGACCAAUAAGAUUAACAAGAAAUCCGGAUAAUCUGCAAAGUCCAACAGAGGGCAUGCCUGAUAAUCUGGGUGAUGUUUCUGCAAUAAAAGAAUCGUACCCUGCCUUUUGUGUCUCUGGCUGCACAGCUGCUCUUUUGAUGGCUGUGUCCGCGUGUGUGUGCAUGUGUGCGUGUGUGUACACACAAUGUCCAAUACUUGCUCAGUAGAUGCUUGCUAUAUGUCUGAAGGCAAAUCAAAAUCUUUAUAGACAGGAUUUAUAUUUUACACUCAAGAUCAGAUAUUCUCCAAGUGGUCCUAAAAUUCAGAUGAUGAAUGACAGCUUCCAAUACUACACACAUAUAUAUCUAUAAUCAAAAUAGACAGCAUAGAAGUUUUCUUUUUUAAACUGUGGACUUUAGAAUUAGACACACUUAAACAUGAAGCCUAAUUCUGUUAUUUUCUCUUUGUCUUUUUGGAAAACUAGUUCAGCUAUCUAUGCUUCUAUUUCCCCAUCUGGAGAUAAUAAAAGUCUCACAAAAUUGUUGUAAAUUAAAAUCACCUAUGUAAAACUCUCCGCAUAUUCCUCAUGCAUAGCAAUGGAAUAAAUGGGAAUAAACUGAAUGACUUUUAAAGCCUUCCCAGAUUAUUUCUGGUAUUUUUUAAUAGAAAAAAUAUAUCAAUUUUAAAGGAAGUGUGUAUCAGCUCAUAGAUACUAUUACAUUAGGCUUUAGAAACUUACUUUUGAUGAAUUAGUCACUCUGAUCAUUUAACUAUGGAAACAGCAUAUGUGUGGCUGAAUUAGAAGCUCUCAGCCCUGCUCUACAGGAGCCAUAGAGACUGGGUUACUAGUGGAGAAUGAAUAAUUCCCCAAAGUGUUCAUGGGGAGCAGAGGACUUGAAAGAGGUAUUGGACCUCCUAGUGCUAGGUCCCGUUUACUCUCAGUGUGAUCUUUGCAGUCAAUGAACACUGUGUAAGCGAUGGGGCUAGAGAAUUAAGUAUAAACCUAACCACACUGCAGUGGAACAACAGCCUUUUCGCCUAAAUACACUUCCCCAACUAAACUCAAAACCUUGGUGGUCCCAUAUGACUAAUGUCCAGGCCCUAAUUCUCUCUGAAUCCCUAGAACAGAAAUAGUUAUCUGGCACGUGGCCUGGGCUAACUAUUUGUUACUUGCUGAUGGAAUCAAUGAACGCCUUUUACAAUAGUUAUGGUGGCAAACAGUGUCCUUUUUAGGUCAACAAUAAUCGCCUUUAAGGGGCUUCCCAGGUGGAGCCAGUGGUAGAGAAUACACCUGCCAAUGCCAGAGACACAGACACAUGGGUUUGAGCUCUGGGUAGGGAAGAUCCCUGCAGAAGGAAAUGGAAAGCUG
rnacentral:lncRNA from 1 species